AACUCCGGCUUCACAGUUUACAUUUUUUUCCCCAUCGGGGUCAGUUUUUACUUGCUGAAGCACAAUUGAUUCGGCCUUCACUUCCGGGCUCAAAACAAACACUGGUUUUAAGCAUUCUGCUCUCCCAGCACCGCGUGGCUGAAAGUGGAAAAAAUAACAUGUGAGACAGGCUGGGCUUUUGAUGAUACCUCCUUAUGACAGACACAUCGAAAACCACCGAUGGUUCUUCCGACUUAGAUUGUGUGUUUAUUUGGGGUGAUUGUGGAGAAGGGGCUGCUGCAGAUGAUGGGUGAAGCUAACACCUCCCAAAUCAGCCCUUGAUAAUGUCACUGACUGGAUUCAAAUUCAGCAACUACCACUUACCGGCUAUGUGACUCUGGGGACCCAGCCCCUCCCUUGAGAAUCCAGGUUCCUAACUUCUGGUCUCCCACGCCCUCCGUGCUAUGCAGUGUCAGCCCAGUGUCUGGCUCACAGCAGCCCUGGUGAGUAUCCCUUGGGGAGUACCUUUACCACCUGUGUAUUACAGCUUCCCAAGGAUAAGGAGUAAGGGAAAGAAGCCA